rnacentral:tRNA from 1 species
GGCCUGAUGGUCUAGUAGUAUGAUUCCUUGUUAGGGUUGUAAAAUCAUUUCGAGGAGGUCCUGGGUUCAAUUCCCAGUCAGGCCC